GACGAACGCUGGCGGCGUGCUUAACACAUGCAAGUCGAACGGAAAGGCCCUGCUUGCAGGGUACUCGAGUGGCGAACGGGUGAGUAACACGUGGGUGAUCUGCCCUGCACUUCGGGAUAAGCCUGGGAAACUGGGUCUAAUACCGGAUAGGAGCCAUUUUUAGUGUGAUGGUUGGAAAGUUUUUUCGGUGUAGGAUGAGCUCGCGGCCUAUCAGCUUGUUGGUGGGGUAAUGGCCUACCAAGGCGGCGACGGGUAGCCGGCCUGAGAGGGUGGACGGCCACAUUGGGACCGAGAUACGGCCCAGACUCCUACGGGAGGCAGCAGUGGGGAAUAUUGCACAAUGGGCGCAAGCCUGAUGCAGCGACGCCGCGUGGGGGAUGACGGCCUUCGGGUUGUAAACUCCUUUCGCUAGGGACGAAGCUUUUUGUGACGGUACCUAGAUAAGAAGCACCGGCUAACUACGUG
rnacentral:rRNA from 1 species